rnacentral:rRNA from 1 species
UACGGAGGGGGCAAGCGUUAUUCGGAAUUAUUGGGCGUAAAGGGCGCGUAGGCGGCUAGAUGUGUCAAAGGUGAAAUCCCUCGGCUCAACUGAGGAACUGCCUUUGAAACUGUCUGGCUUGAGGCCGGGAGAGGGUAGCGGAAUUCCCAGUGUAGCGGUGAAAUGCGUAGAUAUCGGAAGGAACAUCAGUGGCGAAAGCGGCUUCCUGGACCAGUACCGACGUUCAGGCACGAAAGCGUGGGGAGCAAACAGG